GCCUCAGUGGCUUAGCCUGGUAGAGCACCGCAUUGGUAAUGCGGAGGUCGGGGGUUCAAUUCCCCUCUGAGGCU
rnacentral:tRNA from 1 species